CGAAGUGGUUGAUGCCAUGCUUCCAAGAAAAGCUUCUAAGCUUCAGGUAACCAGGAACCGUACCCCAAACCGACACAGGUGGUUGGGUAGAGAAUACCAAGGCGCUUGAGAGAACUCGGGUGAAGGAACUAGGCAAAAUGGCACCGUAACUUCGGGAGAAGGUGCGCCGGUGAGGGUUAAGGACUUGCUCCGUAAGCUCAUGCCGGUCGAAGAUACCAGGCCGCUGCGACUGUUUAUUAAAAACACAGCACUCUGCAAACACGAAAGUGGACGUAUAGGGUGUGACGCCUGCCCGGUGCCGGAAGGUUAAUUGAUGGGGUUAGCUAACGCGAAGCUCUUGAUCGAAGCCCCGGUAAACGGCGGCCGUAACUAUAACGGUCCUAAGGUAGCGAAAUUCCUUGUCGGGUAAGUUCCGACCUGCACGAAUGGCGUAACGAUGGCGGCGCUGUCUCCACCCGAGACUCAGUGAAAUUGAAAUCGCUGUGAAGAUGCAGUGUAUCCGCGGCUAGACGGAAAGACCCCGUGAACCUUUACUAUAGCUUUGCACUGGACUUUGAAUUUGCUUGUGUAGGAUAGGUGGGAGGCUUUGAAGCGUGGACGCCAGUCUGCGUGGAGCCAUCCUUGAAAUACCACCCUGGCAACUUUGAGGUUCUAACUCAGGUCCGUUAUCCGGAUCGAGGACAGUGUAUGGUGGGUAGUUUGACUGGGGCGGUCUCCUCCUAAAGAGUAACGGAGGAGUACGAAGGUGCGCUCAGACCGGUCGGAAAUCGGUCGUAGAGUAUAAAGGCAAAAGCGCGCUUGACUGCGAGACAGACACGUCGAGCAGGUACGAAAGUAGGUCUUAGUGAUCCGGUGGUUCUGUAUGGAAGGGCCAUCGCUCAACGGAUAAAAGGUACUCCGGGGAUAACAGGCUGAUACCGCCCAAGAGUUCAUAUCGACGGCGGUGUUUGGCACCUCGAUGUCGGCUCAUCACAUCCUGGGGCUGAAGCCGGUCCCAAGGGUAUGGCUGUUCGCCAUUUAAAGUGGUACGCGAGCUGGGUUUAGAACGUCGUGAGACAGUUCGGUCCCUAUCUGCCGUGGACGUUUGAGAUUUGAGAGGGGCUGCUCCUAGUACGAGAGGACCGGAGUGGACGAACCUCUGGUGUUCCGGUUGUCACGCCAGUGGCAUUGCCGGGUAGCUAUGUUCGGAAUAGAUAACCGCUGAAAGCAUCUAAGCGGGAAACUAGCCUCAAGAUGAGAUCUCACUGGAACCUUGAGUUCCCUGAAGGGCCGUCGAAGACUACGACGUUGAUAGGUUGGGUGUGUAAGCGCUGUGAGGCGUUGAGCUAACCAAUACUAAUUGCCCGUGAGGCUUGACC
rnacentral:rRNA from 1 species